GUUUAAAAUCUGGGACUUCUGCAGACCUACGGUAGACUUGCAUACUAUGCACUCUGCAUAUUACGAUCCAAUAUAGUGGUAUAGAAACACAAUUUUCACUGUGGACAAUUCUUACAUAGAAGAAA